rnacentral:rRNA from 1 species
CAGCCGCCGCGGUAAUACGUAGGGUGCAAGCGUUAAUCGGAAUUACUGGGCGUAAAGCGUGCGCAGGCGGUUAUAUAAGUCAGAUGUGAAAUCCCCGGGCUCAACCUGGGAACUGCACUUGAGACUGUAUGGCUAGAGUGUGUCAGAGGGGGGUAGAAUUCCACGUGUAGCAGUGAAAUGCGUAGAUAUGUGGAGGAAUACCGAUGGCGGAGGCAGCCCCCUGGGAUAACACUGACGCUCAUGCACGAAAGCGUGGGGAGCAAACAGGAUUAGAUACCCCCGUAGUCCCUGUCUCUUAUAC